CGGACCUUCGAGUUUGACGACGGCCGAUGCGCCCCCAGUGUCCUGGGAUGCCACGCGGCUCCCGUCCCCCCCCCCCCCCCCCCAGUGACCAGUGCAGAGGCACGGACCAGCA
rnacentral:sRNA from 1 species